GCAAGUCGAGGGGUAAGGCUUUCUUCGGAAAGUACACGACCGGCGCACGGGUGAGUAACGCGUAUGCAACCUACCUUUUACAGGAGGAUAGCCCUAAGAAAUUGGGAUUAAUACUCCAUAGUUUUAUUAGAUCGCAUGAUUUGAUAAAUAAAGUUCCGGCGGUAAAAGAUGGGCAUGCGUGCCAUUAGUUUGUUGGUGAGGUAAUGGCUCACCAAGGCGACGAUCAAUAGCCGACCUGAGAGGGUGAUC
rnacentral:rRNA from 1 species